GCAGUGGCUCCUAUUGGUCAUU
rnacentral:miRNA from 15 species